AGAAACUAUGCUGUAGAGGUUCUGAAGUGGCGGCAGAUAAGCAUGGCCUUGCUGGAGAAGCCACCACGGAGAAGGGAAGGUGAACAAUGAAGAUCCAAGGCCCAGGACUCUGACACCUGCUGGAAUCCAGGCCUGAACCUUUCUUUUCCCUCUGGACUGACAGUGGAGUGGGGGAAACUACCCAUUUCUUUGAAGCUAAUCUUAUAUCUGAACAAAAAGAAACAACCCCUCCAAAUAAAACCAAACCUG
rnacentral:lncRNA from 1 species